CCUACGGGUGGCGGCAGUGGGGAAUAUUGGGCAAUGGGCGCAAGCCUGACCCAGCAACGCCGCGUGAAGGAAGAAGGCUUUCGGGUUGUAAACUUCUUUUCUGAGGGACGAAGAAAGUGACGGUACCUCAGGAAUAAGCCACGGCCAACGACGUGCCAGCAGCCGCGGUAAUACGAAGGUGGCAAGCGUUAUCCGGAUUUAUUGGGUGUAAAGGGCGUGUAGGCGGGAGAGCAAGUCAGAUGUUAAAACUCAGGGCUCAACCCUGGGCCUGCAUUUGAAACUGUUUUUCUUGAGUGCUGGGGAGGCAAUCGGAAUUCCGUGUGUAGCGGUGAAAUGCGUAGAUAUACGGAGGAACACCAGUGGCGAAGGCGGAUUGCUGGACAGUAACUGACGCUGAGGCGCGAAAGCGUGGGGAGCAAACAGGAUUAGAUACCCCUGUAGUC
rnacentral:rRNA from 1 species